rnacentral:sRNA from 1 species
UUUGCUUCUGGGAAGGAGCCCCAGCCAGGGGAGACAGUCAUCUAUGUGGCUGGUGCCUUCGACCUGUUCCACAUCGGGCACGUGGACUUCCUGGAGAAGGUGCAUAGGCUGGCGGAGAGGCCCUACAUCAUCGCGGGCUUACACUUUGACCAGGUCACUGCCCUCUUGCUCCCUGGGCCCCUGGGCAGCUGAUGGACCCUCGAGGGGCCCUAAGGGUUGGUGUUAGGUGCAGUGGUCUCUGGGAAGAGGCCCCAGGUGAAGUCAGAGGAGACCCCGGGGGGUGAUCGUAGGCUUCUGGGGUCCAGGGCUGUCCUGUCUGGGGCAUCCCCACAAAGGCGGGCAACCUCCCCGACUUCUUCCCAUGAGGGACAGCUGGGAGGCGCACACCCUGUCCCCCCAAAGUCUCCGGGCUGAGCUAGCCUCACUCUGGCCGCAGGAGGUCAAUCACUACAAGGGGAAGAACUACCCCAUCAUGAAUCUGCAUGAGCGGACCCUGAGCGUGCUGGCCUGCCGGUACGUGUCAGAAGUGGUGAUUGGGGCCCCGUACGCGGUCACAGCAGAGCUCCUGA